GGGGGUGUUCUGGAUUCGACGCCGGUAUCGAAACCUGAGGUGCAUGCCGAGGACGUAGCGGUUCUCGUUAAUCAAAACGCUACAAACCUUUAGUUGCCAAACUAGCAACUCUCGAAAGCGCAAAUGCUGAGCAGUUCUCUGCUGCAGCGGCUGCUUAAUCGUAGCUAAACCCUACGAGCUUUCCAGUCUGAUCGGCUCGUUUACUGGCUGAUUUUAUAGACUGUCAUCGUAAGUAAACUCGCGAGGUUCGGUGUGCCUGUGACCGGCCAGCUAAAACUUAACAGGAUCGUCUGACAGAACCCCGACCGCUGGGUCGUUGUCAGGUUAAAUUAAAGGCGGAUCUAAGCAUGUAGAGCCAAGGGUAGAGAAUCGGCGGACAGGGGUUCAAAUCCCCUCGCCUCCACCA
rnacentral:tmRNA from 1 species